rnacentral:lncRNA from 1 species
AUUCUUGCUGAGGCGGGAGGUUUUGACUCCGCCACCUUGAUCAGUUUGGAGUUCAACGCUGGAACUCUCGAAAAGUAUAUAGGUAUGAGUCACUGCCCUAGGAACUUCCGCCUUUAUUGUUCUCUAUCUGGGUGUGUUUUGCUUCAUGGUGUCUCUGACAUGUUCAUCUUCCUUGGUGCAGGUUCGAAAAUAAACCAAGAGCGGAGGACACGACUUACCCAAGCUCUGCGGACUGAGAGCGGGGCUUCGUCUUCUUCCCGUGCUGACGCCGAAGGCCACUGAAAAGUUGUUCGUUUGUGUUUUUGUAUGAGUUGUAAUGUUUGCCCUAUUCGCAUUACUCCCAUUUGUAUCGAACACUGCUUGUAA